GCUACGCUGGCGGCGUGUCUUAGCCAUGCAAGUCGAGCGGACUUAUGGGGUAACUUAUAAGUCAGCGGCGGACGGCGGAGUAACACGUAGCUAACCUACCCUCUGGACGGGGAUAACCUACCGAAAGGUGGGCUAAUACCCGAUGUAGUCAUCCUGUAUAGGGGUGAUGAAAGGUGGGCUUCUGUUUACAAGCUCAUGCUGGAGGAGGGGGCUUCGGCCUAUCAGGUAGUUGGUAGGGUAAUAGCCUACCAAGCCGAUGACGGGUAGCCGGCCUGAGAGGGUGACCGGCCCGAGGGGCACUGAGAUACGGGUCUCACUCCUACGGGAGGCAGCAGGCUAGAAAUUUGGGCAAUGGGGGAAACCCUGACCCAGUGACGCCGCGUGCAGGAAGGAGCCCUUCGGGGUGUAAACUGCUGUCGUGUAGGGAGAAGGGUACUAAGGUGAACAAUCUUAGUACUUGACGGUACUACAGGAGGAAGCCCAGGCUAACCUCGUG
rnacentral:rRNA from 1 species